rnacentral:rRNA from 1 species
CCCUUAGAUGUCCUGGGCCGCACGCGUGCUACACUGAUGCAUACAGCGAGUACUCCCAGCUCCGAGAGGCUGCCGGUAAUCAGCAAUAUGCAUCGUGAUGGGGAUAGAUCUUUGGGAUUAUAGAUCUUGAACGAGGAAUUCCUAGUAAUCGCAGGUCAUCACCCUGCGUUGACUAAGUCCCUGCCCUUUGUACACACCGCCCGUCGCUCCUACCGAUUUCGAGUGAUCCGGUGAAUCAUUCGGACCGCGGCCCCUAGGCAUGCGGAAAGUCUAGUAAACCAUAUCACUUAGAGGAAGGAGAAGUCGUAACA